rnacentral:rRNA from 1 species
UACGGGGGGAGCAAGCGUUGUUCGGAUUUACUGGGCGUAAAGGGCGCGUAGGCGGUCGUGACAAGUCACUUGUGAAAUCUCCGGGCUUAACUCGGAAAGGUCAAGUGAUACUGUCGGACUAGAGUACAGAAGGGGCAACUGGAAUUCUCGGUGUAGCGGUGAAAUGCGUAGAUAUCGAGAGGAACACCUGCGGCGAAGGCGGGUUGCUGGGCUGAUACUGACGCUGAGACGCGAAAGCUAGGGGAGCGAACGGG